UACGGAAGGCAGCAGUGGGGAAUAUUGCACAAUGGGCGCAAGCCUGAUGCAGCCAUGCCGCGUGUAUGAAGAAGGCCUUCGGGUUGUAAAGUACUUUCAGCGGGGAGGAAGGCGAUGUGGUUAAUAACCGCGUCGAUUGACGUUACCCGCAGAAGAAGCACCGGCUAACUCCGUGCCAGCAGCCGCGGUAAUACGGAGGGUGCAAGCGUUAAUCGGAAUUACUGGGCGUAAAGCGCACGCAGGCGGUCUGUUUAAGUCAGAUGUGAAAUCCCCGGGCUUAACCUGGGAACUGCAUUUUGAAACUGGCAGGCUUGAGUCUCGUAGAGGGGGUAGAAUUCCAGGUGUAGCGGUGAAAUGCGUAGAGAUCUGGAGGAAUACCGGUGGCGAAGGCGGCCCCUGGGACGAAGACUGACGCUCAGGGUGCGAAAGCGUGGGGAGCAAACAGGAUUAGGAUACC
rnacentral:rRNA from 1 species